UACGUAGGGGGCGAGCGUUGUCCGGAUCUAUUGGGCGUAAAGAGCGUGUAGGCGGCCAGGUAGGUCUGCUGUGAAAACUCGAGGCUCAACCUCGAGACGUCGGCGGAAACCAUCUGGCUAGAGUCCGGAAGAGGAGAGUGGAAUUCCUGGUGUAGCGGUGAAAUGCGCAGAUAUCAGGAAGAACACCCGUGGCGAAGGCGGCUCUCUGGGACGGUACUGACGCUGAGACGCGAAAGCGUGGGGAGCGAACAGG
rnacentral:rRNA from 1 species